CAUAAGAUAUUGGAAACAACUAGUAUUGCCAGAGAUUGAGAAAACAUUUCAGGGUAAUUAUAUACAUGUAUGUUCAGGGUAAUUAUAUAUGGGUAAAAGAUAUUCUAAAUAUCACGUACUACCACAAGCUUCGUAUGGGAUUCUCAAUGUGAAGUGAUUUUUCAAGAUCUUAAGAGGUGAUUGACGUCCACGUCAAUCUUAAUUCUGCCAUGUCCGGACGAAUCUUUUGUGGUGUUAUAUU
rnacentral:lncRNA from 1 species